rnacentral:rRNA from 1 species
CCUACUGGUGGCAGCAGUGAGGAAUAUUGGUCAAUGGACGAGAGUCUGAACCAGCCAAGUAGCGUGAAGGAUGACUGCCCUAUGGGUUGUAAACUUCUUUUAUAUGGGAAUAAAACGUUCCACGUGUGGGAUUUUGUAUGUACCAUAUGAAUAAGGAUCGGCUAACUCCGUGCCAGCAGCCGCGGUGAUACGGAGGAUCCGAGCGUUAUCCGGAUUUAUUGGGUUUAACGGGACCGUAGGUGGAUGGUUAGGUAAGUUGUGAAAGUUUGCGGCUCAACCGUAAAAUUGCAGUUGAAUCUGGCAGUCUUGAGUACAGUAGAGGUGGGCGGAAGUCGUGGUGUAGCGGUGAAAUGCUUAGAUAUCACGAAGAACUCCGAGUGCGAAGGCAGUUCACUGGACUGCAACUGACACUGAGGCUCGAAAGUGUGGGUAUCAAACAGGAUUAGAUACCCUUGUAGUC